rnacentral:ncRNA from 1 species
ACUAUGGGGACACGCGAUCUCCCCACGAGGCGACAUGCCCAAGUAUCGCGUUUCGCACUUUGCGAGGCGCUCUGUCAUG